rnacentral:rRNA from 1 species
GACGAACGCUGGCGGCGUGCUUAACACAUGCAAGUCGAGCGGUAAGGCCCUUUCGGGGGUACACGAGCGGCGAACGGGUGAGUAACACGUGGGUGACCUGCCCUCAGCUCUGGGAUAAGCCUGGGAAACCGGGUCUAAUACUGGAUAUGACUCCAUGACGCAUGUUGUGGGGUGGAAAGCCUUGUGCGGCUGAGGAUGGGCCCGCGGCCUAUCAGCUUGUUGGUGGGGUGAUGGCCUACCAAGGCGACGACGGGUAGCCGGCCUGAGAGGGCGACCGGCCACACUGGGACUGAGACACGGCCCAGACUCCUACGGGAGGCAGCAGUGAGGAAUCUUGCGCAAUGGAACGAAAGUCUGACGCAGCGAUGCCGC